UGUCAUUUACUUUUGAACGUGUAACUAUAAGUUAAUGACUGUCUGUCCUUAACUUUUGAACUUGGAAAUCAAAGUUAAGGACUUAUUGCCCUUAACUUUUGAACUUGUAACUGUAAGUUAAGGACUGUCUGUCCUGUCCUUAACUUUAGAACUUGUAACUGUAUGUUAAGGACUGCCUGUCCAUAACUUUUGAACUUGUGUCCUUAACUAUUGAACUAAACUUUAGGACUUCUCAUUUCCUUAACUUUUGAAGUUGAAACUCUAAGUUCAGGACCAUGCUCUUAACUUUUGAAUUUAACUUUAGGACUUCAAGAAGGAAUUGCAUUUCCUGUUUACUCAUCACACUUUUUUCUUAUUUUCACGUCAUAUCUUAAUCUUUUUUAAUAAAAUUUGGAACCUCUCCUCAUUCUCCUUUUGCUUUUGUAAUUGUUCUCUUAUGUUCUUCAUGCUUGUUUAGCUUAUCAACAUGAACUGUAACCAAAGGCAUUUAACAUUCAGUAGCAUUAAUAGAAGUUCGUACCAUUCUCGUUGACCUUCCUUACCAAUGGGUGAAGGUGAGGUUCCGAAUACACGAUUGCGCACGUUAGAUGCUGAAAUGAAACAGUAUAAAUACACUACAUUUCCGUUUGGGAAAAGAGAUAGAAGAAAGGGUAACACAGUCUUUUCAUAUUAAUUUUAAUAGACUAGUGGCUACUAUUGCUAAGCAUUAAAAAUGCUGGAUAAAAAGUAAAUACCAGCUUAAACAGUGGCUACCCCACGCCAUUUCUACAGUUUGGUUCAAGGUCCCUUUUUUAGCACUAGGUAUUACCACGUGGUACGGAAUAUAGUGUUCCUUGAUUGUCUAAUCAAAAUGAUAACUGACCAAUAGGAAAGGUACUUUGGAUAUGC
rnacentral:lncRNA from 1 species